rnacentral:miRNA from 1 species
UAUUUAAUUUUCCUACUUGCACUCCAUUUUCAAUAUAUUUUUUUUAUCGAUUAAGAAAUAAUUAACAUUGUUGAAAAUGGAGUGCAAGUGGGAAAAUUAGGUAU